rnacentral:hammerhead_ribozyme from 1 species
ACUCAGCUGACGAGUUCAAAAUAGGACGAAACGCGCAUUCUGGAU